GAAGAAUAUCACUGAGCAAGAUCAUAAGCAGUCCCUGCAGCUCACAUUCCAUUCACUGUGCACAUAUUUUAGUGAUAAAGAUCCAGGUGGCCUUCUACUUAUACCUGAGAAAAGUGACCUUGCUGGCAUGAACAUUGGUGAAGUCCUAGCUGUCAUGAAUACCCUCCUUUCUGUGGCUGCUUGAGAGUGUGAGCUGUUGAUGCUCAGUGAGGCACCAGGGGAAGUUGGCUCUGUGCUCUU